AGGGAAAGAAUGCCUAUUCUGUAUUUUCAGAUAUCUCCUUGGUGCUGGGAGGACGAAUGGACCAAUCCAGCAAUAUUCCAUGAAAUCAGUUACUCAGGAAAGUCAUGAAAGUUGACAUGAAACACAGAAGCCCUCAACAAAUACCUGAAAGAAAAUGAAACAGAAGAAAAAUGAGAGUAGCUCAACCCUGCCUUCCUCAUACUUAAAGAACGUCGAAUUCCUGCACUGACAACUGAUGCUGAGUUCAGCUUGAAAAACUCAAGAGUAGGCUCCUUUUCCAUACUUAGGCCCUCUAUUCAAUUUGACAUUAAAACUUAUUCCACUUA